UUUACUGGGCGUAAAGCGUCUGCAGGCGGACAGGUAAGUUGGGCGUGAAAGCUCCGUGCUCAACGCGGAGAGGUCGUUCAAUACUGCGUGUCUAGAGGGUGUCAGAGGGGAGUGGAAUUUCCGGAGUAGCGGUAAAAUGCGCAGAGAUCGGAAAGAACACCAAUGGCGAAAGCAGCUCCCUGGGGCACACCUGACGCUAAGAGACGAAAGCUAGGGGAGCGAACAGGAUUAGAGACCCUGGUAGUCCUAGCCCUAAACGAUGGAUGCUGGAUGUGGGACCAUAGAGUUCCGUGUCGAAGCAAACGCGUUAAGCAUCCCGCCUGGGGACUACGGCCGCAAGGUUAAAACUCAAACGAAUUGACGGGACCCCGCACAAGCAGCGGAGCGUGUGGUUUAAUUCGAUGCUACACGAAGAACCUUACCUGGGUUUGACAUCUAGGUGGUAGCGAAGUGAAAGCGGAGCGACCCUUCGGGGAGCCUAGACAGGUGCUGCAUGGCUGUCGUCAGCUCGUGCCGUGAGGUGUCGGGUUAAGUCCCGUAACGAGCGCAACCCUUGCCCUCCGUUAUACGUGUCAGAGGGGACUGCCGGCGGUAAGCCGGAGGAAGGUGGGGAUGACGUCAAGUCAGCAUGGCCUUUAUAUCCAGGGCUACACACACGCUACAAUGGCCAGUACAAAGGGCAGCGAAGCCGCGAGGUGGAGCGAAUCCCAGCAAAGCUGGUCGUAGUUCGGAUUGCAGGCUGCAACCCGCCUGCAUGAAGCUGGAGUUGCUAGUAACCGCGCGUCAGCCAUAGUGCGGUGAUACGUUCCCGGGGUUUGUACACACCGCCCGUCACGUCAUGGGAGUCGAUAACGCCUGAAGCCGGUGGCCUAGCUCGGAAGAGAGGGCGCUGUCUAAGGCGGGGU
rnacentral:rRNA from 1 species